UUUUAUGUACUUUCCAUCCUACUCGUAUAUUGAAACCGUUCAACUAACCAACGCUGGACUCUGAUCUUCAUCUAGCGAUUUCGCACACCUCGAUAAAUCUUUCGUUCGUCGGCAUACCGUACACAGCCAAGUGGAAAAAAGUUAACACCCAAAGUACACUACACCUUACCUAUACCUACCUAUAUUGCACCGUAAGACGACGGAGCACAGAGAAAUGAAAUGUGAGGCAGGCGCAGGAGGAAGAAGGGUUAUAUUCGGACAUGAAAAAGGUUUAAUUUACCGCCGAAAUUACUCUAUUUAUUACCUGACACUCGGAAGUACAUAUUUUGCUGGAUGGCAACGACACUGGUAUGCUUAUGGUCGUCGUCAAAGGCAGCAUAUUCAACGAUACGGAUUGUUCGAUGGACUUUUGUUGAGCUACGGCGGCGGUUUCUUCGGCAGAGGCGUUUACACGGCUAUACGAGUAUAAUUCUUCGGGCGAUAUACAAAACGAAUUCAUACCAGAUUCGCCUCGCUCCGUCGGAUACGUUCCGAUAUAAAAAUCGGCGCUCAUACAAGAAGAUUUGUCCGACGACGACGAUACAGUCGACGAGAAAUUAUCGUUUUCUUGGUUUAUUUCUAGUAUCGGUGAUAAAGGUCUGAUGGGCGUGAUCGAGUCUGGAGAUCUACGUUGAUGAUGGUUUUUCUCGAUCUGAUUACGAUAUCCGUUUAUUGAUUUGAAAGUGGACAGGUCUUCGCUUGGGUCGCUAUCGAUACCCUUUUGGUUGUUCAGAUAUCCGUUG